rnacentral:ncRNA from 1 species
GCAGAGUAGGUACGAUGCGUCAAGUGCGUGGGGAUGGGAAGUUGCCCCAUGACGAAAAGCCGAUUUAUGCGGCUUGCGGUAUCGUAUUGCGUCCGCUGU